UGACGCGGGCUGGACCUCUCGGGGUUACAGCCUUGCUGAAUUAUUCACCCUUGUCUUUUGCGUACUUCUUGUUUCCUUGGUGGGUUCGCCCACCACUAGGACAAACAUAAACCUUUUGUAAUUGCAAUCAGCGUCAGUAACAAAUUAAUAAUUACAACUUUCAACAACGGAUCUCUUGGUUCUGGCAUCGAUGAAGAACGCAGCGAAAUGCGAUAAGUAGUGUGAAUUGCAGAAUUCAGUGAAUCAUCGAAUCUUUGAACGCACAUUGCGCCCUUUGGUAUUCCAAAGGGCAUGCCUGUUCGAGCGUCAUUUGUACCCUCAAGCUUUGCUUGGUGUUGGGCGUCUUGUCUCUAGCUUUGCUGGAGACUCGCCUUAAAGUAAUUGGCAGCCGGCCUACUGGUUUCGGAGCGCAGCACAAGUCGCACUCUCUAUCAGCAAAGGUCUAGCAUCCACUAAGCCUUUUUUUCAACUUUUGACCUCGGAUCAGGUAGGGAUACCCGCUGAACUUAAGCAUAUCAAAAGCCGGAGGAA
rnacentral:rRNA from 1 species